CGUGAAAUUGUUGAAAGGGAAACGUUUGACACCAGUUAUGCGGGUGGAAAAUCAGUCUUUUGCAGUGGGGAGUUGUGGGCGUUCAGACCGCAAGGCUGGCGUUUGCUUCAUCUUUGUUGUAAGUGAUGCACUUUUUCAUUUGCAGGUCAACAUCAGUUUGCUUUGCUGGACAAAACCCCAAGGGCAGGUGGCAGCUUAGGCUGUGUUAUAGCCCUGGGGCGAUACAGUGGAGUGGACUGAGGUUUAGCAGG
rnacentral:rRNA from 1 species